CCUACGGGGGGCUGCAGUGGGGAAUAUUGGACAAUGGGCGCAAGCCUGAUCCAGCCAUGCCGCGUGUGUGAAGAAGGCCUUCGGGUUGUAAAGCACUUUCAGUGGGGAGGAAGGGGUUGUAGUUAACAGCUGCAAUUUUUGACGUUACCCACAGAAGAAGCACCGGCUAACUCCGUGCCAGCAGCCGCGGUAAUACGGAGGGUGCAAGCGUUAAUCGGAAUUACUGGGCGUAAAGCGCACGCAGGCGGCUUUUUAAGUCGGAUGUGAAAGCGCCGGGCUCAACGUGGGAAUUGCAUCGGAUACUGGGAAGCUAGAGUAUGUGAGAGGGGGGUAGAAUUCCAAGUGUAGCGGUGAAAUGCGUAGAGAUUUGGAGGAAUACCAGUGGCGAAGGCGGCCCCCUGGCACAAUACUGACGCUCAGGUGCGAAAGCGUGGGGAGCAAACAGGAUUAGAUACCCCGGUAGUCUA
rnacentral:rRNA from 1 species